rnacentral:lncRNA from 1 species
UAUCCCAAAACUAUAAAACAUACCAAUUGUUCCAACAACAUCGAUGAUAACCAUUCUAUUAUUAAUAAAGUUACUACUGAUGUAAAUUGCAGAAAUAAAGAAAAUACAAUUAAAAAUUAUGUUUAUAAUGUGAAAAGUGAUUUUGAAAUAAAAAAUGAAAUAGAUACUAUCACUGAAGAUAAUGAAGUGACCAAUAGUAACAUUAAAUCUAAACAAAAUAAUAUGUCAGAAGCACAUGAAAAAAAACAACACAAUUUGAUACAUAUAUUGGACGAAUGGGAAGAAUCAAAAAAAUUAAAUAUUUUAAAAAUUAAAAUUAACAGUCAGUCAUUUCUAAACUGUCCAGAACCAAACAAUAAUUUAUAUCCAUUUAAAAAUGCAAAUAAUUAUAAAAAAGAGUAUAAUGAUUUUAAUUCAAAAUUGUAUAUUUUAAAAAAAGUAUCUAGUAUUAUAAAAAACAAAAAUAGCAAUUUCGAUUUAUAUAGCAUAGAUAAGAAUAAAAAAUUUGAUAAAAAAAUUAUAAAUGAAUAUAAAAAGGAUACAUUUAAUAAAAAUAUUUUGAAAGAUAAAAGCAAAAAAAAAGAGGUAUUAGAAGAUACGAAUUUGGAUAAAGUAACACAAUAUAAAUUAGUUUGUGAAGCAAAAAAAAAUGUUAAGCAUGACAGAAGUAUAAGUAAUGAUUGGCUCUUUUUUGAUAAAAAACAUGUCAACAUGAAUGAGAAACAAAAAAAAAAAGUGAAUACAUUUUUAUGUAAUAAUAAGUAUGAUACAUCACAAGAUAAUAUGUUAUUAUUUCAUUCAAAUUUAAUAAAACAACGAUAUAUGGUUGAAGAACAAAAAAUGUAUGACAAUCAUGUAUUAUAUCUCUUAAAUUCUAUUAUUUUUUAUUCUAACAAAAUACAAAAUAUAUUAGACGUUUUUGGUAAAAAGAAUACUACACCAAAUGAGUCUGUCUUAGAAAUUCAGAUUUUUAUGCUUUGUUUAAUUAAUUUGGUUAAAAAAUUAAAAACGGAUAUUCCAUGUUAUGUAACAUUUAAAAAUGUAUUACAUUUAAUAAACGAAAUAAUUGAAGAAAUUAAAAGUAAUAUUUUAAGAAUAACCGAACUAGUAGAAAUUACAAAAUUUGAUUCAGCUAUUAUCAAAUUUUAUUUUAUUGAAAUUAUUAAAAUGUCAAAAUUACUAUAUUCUUUACAUACUAAAAAUAUAAUUGAUAAAAAAAAUUCAUUUAAUUUGGAUGAAGCAUUUCCAGUAUCGUCUUCGUCAUCAUCACCAUCAUCGUCUUCAAUACUACCACCAUCAUCUUCAAUACUUCCACUGUCGUCUUUAGUACUACUACCAUCACAUGUUAUGACACCAAAACAAAUUCAACCAGCAUCAUCAUUAUCUUUAUCAAUAUCUUCCUUAUCAUUUACAUCCUUCCCUUCUUCUUUUUUAUCUACAAAUAAUAUACGAAAAACAGACUUCUCAGUAGAACAGAUAAAUUAUAACCAUAAUACUAAUGAAUGUUCAAAGGAUACAAUAAUAUGUGAUAAAUAUCAUUCAGAUGGGGAAAAAAUCGAAUUGACUGAGAAAGAGAAAACCAAAGUAAAUCAUAAUAAAGAAAGUGACAAAAAUAAAGAAUUUACUAAGCCAAAAAAAAAGAACAAAUAAUUGUAUAUCUUAUAUAAAAACAUAUAAAGAGAACGGGCAUAAUACAAAUAUAGUUAACAAUGAAUCAGAAAAUAAUGAAUUAAAAAAACGAUUGACUUAUGUGAAUGAAAACAAAAAAGAGUUAAUAAAUUUUAAUUCUACAAGUAAUAUAGAUAAUUG